rnacentral:rRNA from 1 species
UACGAAGGGGACUAGCGUUGUUCGGAAUUACUGGGCGUAAAAGCGCACGUAGGCGGAUUUGUAAGUCAGGGGUGAAAUCCCGGGGCUCAACCUCGGAACUGCCUUUGAUACUGCAAAUCUCGAGUCCGAUAGAGGUGGGUGGAAUUCCUAGUGUAGAGGUGAAAUUCGUAGAUAUUAGGAAGAACACCGGUGGCGAAGGCGGCCCACUGGAUCGGUACUGACGCUGAGGUGCGAAAGCGUGGGGAGCAAACAGG